CGAAGCCUGACGGAGCAAUACCGCGUGAGGGAAGAAGGCUUUUGGGUUGUAAACCUCUUUUGUCAGGGAAGAAGAAUUGACGGUACCUGAAGAAAAAGCAUCGGCUAACUCCGUGCCAGCAGCCGCGGUAAUACGGAGGAUGCAAGCGUUAUCCGGAAUCAUUGGGCGUAAAGGGUCCGCAGGUGGCGAAUAAAGUCUGCUGUUAAAGACCGGGGCUUAACUCCGGAAAGGCAGUGGAAACUGAUUAGCUAGAGUACGGUAGGGGUAGAGGGAAUUCCCAGUGUAGCGGUGAAAUGCGUAGAUAUUGGGAAGAACACCGGUGGCGAAAGCGCUCUACUAGGCCGAAACUGACACUGAGGGACGAAAGCUAGGGUAGCGAAAGGGAUUAGAUACCCCUGUAGUCUUAGCGGUAAACGAUGGAUACUAGGUGUAGCUUGUAUCGACCCGAGCUGUGCCGAAGCUAACGCGAUAAGUAUCCUGCCUGGGGAGUACGCACGCAAGUGUGAAACUCAAAGGAAUUGACGGGGGCCCGCACAAGCGGUGGAGUAUGUGGUUUAAUUCGAUGCAACGCGAAGAACCUUACCAGGGCUUGACAUGUCGCGAAUCUAGCGGAAACGUUAGAGUGCCUUAGGGAAUGCGAACACAGGUGGUGCAUGGCUGUCGUCAGCUCGUGUCGUGAGAUGUUGGGUUAAGUCCCGCAACGAGCGCAACCCUCGUCCUUAGUUGCCAAUAUUAAGUUAGGCACUCUAGGGAGACUGCCGGGGACAACUCGGAGGAAGGUGGGGAUGACGUCAAGUCAGCAUGCCCCUUACGUCCUGGGCGACACACGUACUACAAUGGUUGGGACAAAGGGCAGCAAGCUCGCGAGAGUAAGCGAAUCUCAUCAAACCCAGCCACAGUUCAGAUUGCAGGCUGCAGCUCGCCUGCAUGAAGUAGGAAUCGCUAGUAAUCGCAGGUCAGCAUACUGCGGUGAGUUCGUUCCCGGGCCUUGUACACACCGCCCGUCACACCAUGGAAGCUGGCUACGCCCGAAGUCGUUACCCUAACCCGGUUUUGGGAGGGGGAUGCCGAAGGUAGAGCUAGUGACUGGGGUGAAGUCGUAACAAGGUAGCCGUACCGGAAGGUGUGGCUGGAUCACCUCCUUU
rnacentral:rRNA from 1 species